rnacentral:rRNA from 1 species
GCUAAGAAUAUUCCGCAAUGGACGAAAGUCUGACGGAGCGACGCCGCGUGGAUGACGAAGGCCGAAAGGUUGUAAAGUCCUUUUGUCGAUGAAGAAUAAGGGUAGGAGGGAAUGCCUGCCUGAUGACGUUAGUCGGCGAAUAAGCCCCGGCUAAUUACGUGCCAGCAGCCGCGGUAACACGUAAGGGGCAAGCGUUGUUCGGAAUUAUUGGGCGUAAAGGGUACGUAGGCGGUUUGGUAAGCCCGGCGUGAAAUCCUGCAGCUUAACUGUAGAGCUGCGCUGGGAACUGCGAAACUUGAGUCAUGGAAGGGGAGUUAGAAUUCCAGGUGUAGGGGUGAAAUCUGUAGAUAUCUGGAAGAAUACCGGUGGCGAAGGCGAACUCCUGGCCAAUGACUGACGCUGAGGUACGAAAGUGCGGGGAGCAAACAGGAUUAGAAACCCCUGUAGUCC